rnacentral:tRNA from 1 species
UGGCUCAGAGGUUAAAGCAUCUGCCUGGAAUGUGGGAGACCCAGGUUCGAUCCCUGG